UACGUAGGGUGCGAGCGUUGUCCGGAAUUACUGGGCGUAAAGAGCUCGUAGGUGGUUUGUCGCGUUGUCCGUGAAAACUCACAACUCAAUUGUGGGCGUGCGGGCGAUACGGGCAGACUGGAGUACUGCAGGGGGAGACUGGAAUUCCUGGUGUAGCGGUGGAAUGCGCAGAGUAUCAGGAGGAACACCGGUGGCGAAGG
rnacentral:rRNA from 1 species